GUCUUUUUAAAACAUCUAGCCAUUUAGUUACAUUUUCAGCAUAUCAAAAUACAUUUAUUUUUUUCCGUAACUGUGUAUUUAGGGGAAGAGAAGAUUUCUUAUAAUUGAAAUCAUUGAAGGCUAAAUUUUGAUUCCCUGGGCACAUUCUCUUAACUGUGGCAGAGGUACCUGUCAUGUGAUUUACACAGUGAAUGGCCCUGCUUUUGGAGCAAGUUAAUGUUAUAAUAUCCCCAUUUAUAUUCAGAACAGUCAACACUUUUGAGCUCUCAGAAUAAUAAAAGCACCUGCAUUUAAUAUACAUGGAAGAAUGGAAAGGCAAAUAGCAGAUAAGGCACAAUCAGACAUCUCCAAAUUUUAGUGAAAUCUGCUCGACACUUCUGAAUGCCUCUACGUCUCCAUGAUGGAUCAGAAAUAUGCAUAUCUCUACAAGGAUAGCAUGGAAGAAAAGAACUGUCUCUAGGGGCACACAGGUGGCUGCUCUGUGGACAUGUGCCAUCCGAACACCCGGUCAAGACAACUAAGUAUGCCUUGAUGUGAGAUUUUUUUGAACUGAUGUUUGAAAAUUUGAUUUCAAACCUCUGGGAAGAAUUUUGUUGUUUGUGUAACUUUGAAGGAAGAAGUAAAUGGUCAUAGUCGAGAAUGCAAAAUGGCAAUACUAUGGGAGAGGACCUCAUGGAAAUACUAAUUGCAGUGAAGCCUACAUUGAUACUUGUUAGGUUCCAGACAACAUAAGCUAAUUCUGGCUAGAAUUUAUUGAUGAAGACUCAGAUCUUGAAAUCUGAAUUUAAAACAACCAGCUUUUGGAUGAGCCAGACCAAGGACCCCCAGGGACCUUAGAAGCAGAAGAUAAUGGACCUUUUCUAUAGAACAUUGGACUCUUUGUUUCUCACCUUUAGUGGCCUGAUGUCAAAUGGGUCAUCUUAGUCAAGAAGGCAGGCAGGACCAUGUAUUACAAGCCUAAUUGCUGGGGAUUUUUCUGUAUCUGAAGCAAUUAUAGGCAAAGGGAAUGUUUAGAAGUAAUAAAAUUUUAAGACUUUAAGGGUGAAUGACAGAUAAACUACACAUAUUUAAAGUAUAUAAUUUGGUAUAUUUUGACAUGUGUGUAUACACACCAGGAAACUAUCACCAUAAUGAAGAAAAUGAAGAUAUCCAUAUCUCUGCUGGUUUCCUUUCGUCCUUUUUUCUUUCUUCUCUCUCAGUCCUGUGUCCCUCUUCCUGUACCCAGGCAUCAGCUGACCUGCUUCUGUCAUUGUGGAUUAGUUUGCACUUUCUAGAAUUUUACUUAAAUGGGAUCAUAAGUUCUUUUCUGACUUUUUUCAUUCAGUGUAAUUAUUUUGAGACUUAUCCAUGCUGUAGUAUUUAUCAGUACCUUAUUGCUUUUUAUGGGUGAUUAAUGUUCCAUUGGCUGGCUAUACUAUAGUUUAUUCAUUAAGCUGUUGAUGACAUUAGGGUUCUAGUUUGAGGCUAUUACUGAUAAAGUUGGUAUGAAUAUUUACAUGCAAGUGUUUUCUUUUAGACAUUUGUUUUCAUUUCUCUUGAGUAAAACCUAGGAGUAGAAUGGCCUGGUAAUCCUGUAGGUGGGUGUUUUACUUUUUCAUCAACUGCCAAGAAGUUUUUCAAAGUGGUUGUAUAAUUUUCUAUUCCUACUGGCAACAUGUGAGAGUUCUGGUUCUCUAUCAUCACUAGCACUUGGUUAUAUCCAGGACUUACUUUUUUUUUAUUAAGUUUAUUGGUACAUUUUAGGUAUACAAUACAGUUACUUUCACCAUUGGUAUCUUGUACCUUUACAUGAUAUAUAUUGGUUCUUAUUUUUUCCCCCUUCUCCUGCCAUCCCUUCAACCCCUCCACCCUUCCCUAUUUACAAAGACUUUGUUUCCAUUUUUUCAUUUUCUCAUAAUUUUUCCUUUCCCUUCUUUCCUUUCCCCUACCCCUCCCACUUUCCCUUCCUCCUUUGAACCUUUUCUUCCUAUUUCACGUUAUCAAUCAUACAUUUUGAUCCUUAUUUAUACUUUUAGUUUCUCACACCAGAGAAACUAUUUGGUAUUUACAUAUGCAUGCCCUGUUUAUUUCACUUAAGAGUUGCAUAUCGAGGCCAUACUUUAAGUGAAAUAAAUGGGACACAUGUGUAAAUAGCGAAUAGUUUCUGUAGUGUGAGAAACUGAUAGUGUAAAUAAGAGUUAAAAUGAUUAAAAUGAAUAAUUGAUAAUUUGAAAUAGGAAGAA
rnacentral:lncRNA from 1 species